AUUGAACGCUGGCGGCAGGCCUAACACAUGCAAGUCGAGCGAGCGGCGGACGUGUGAGAAAUGUCUGGGAAAUUGCCUGAUGGAGGGGGAUAACUACGGGAACCGGUAGCUAAUACCGCAUACCAUCAGAUGUGCCCAGAUGGGAUUAGCUAGUAGGUGGGGUAUUGGCUCACCUAGGCGACGAUCCCGAGCGGGUCUGAGAGGAUGAACAGCCACACGGGAACUGAGACACGGUCCAGACUCCUACGGGAGGCAGCAGUGGGGAAUAUUGCACAAUGGGCGCAAGCCUGAUGCAGCCAUGCCGCGUGUGUGAAGAAGGCCUUCGGGUUGUAAAGCACUUUCAGCGGGGAGGCGUUACUCACAGAAGAAGCACCGGCUAACUCCGUGCCAGCAGCCGCGGUAAUAC
rnacentral:rRNA from 1 species